UGCAAGUCGAACGAUGAACCACUUCGGUGGGGAUUAGUGGCGAACGGGUGAGUAACACGUGGGCAAUCUGCCCUUCACUCUGGGACAAGCCCUGGAAACGGGGUCUAAUACCGGAUAACACUGCCACGGGCAUCUGUGGUGGUUAAAAGCUCCGGCGGUGAAGGAUGAGCCCGCGGCCUAUCAGCUUGUUGGUGAGGUAAUGGCUCACCAAGGCGACGACGGGUAGCCGGCCUGAGAGGGCGACCGGCCACACUGGGACUGAGACACGGCCCAGACUCCUACGGGAGGCAGCAGUGGGGAAUAUUGCACAAUGGGCGAAAGCCUGAUGCAGCGACGCCGCGUGAGGGAUGACGGCCUUCGGGUUGUAAACCUCUUUCAGCAGGGAAGAAGCGAAAGUGACGGUACCUGCAGAAGAAGCGCCGGCUAACUACGUGCCAGCAGCCGCGGUAAUACGUAGGGCGCAAGCGUUGUCCGGAAUUAUUGGGCGUAAAGAGCUCGUAGGCGGCUUGUCACGUCGGGUGUGAAAGCCCGGGGCUUAACCCCGGGUCUGCAUUCGAUACGGGCUAGCUAGAGUGUGGUAGGGGAGAUCGGAAUUCCUGGUGUAGCGGUGAAAUGCGCAGAUAUCAGGAGGAACACCGGUGGCGAAGGCGGAUCUCUGGGCCAUUACUGACGCUGAGGAGCGAAAGCGUGGGGAGCGAACAGGAUUAGAUACCCUGGUAGUCCACGCCGUAAACGGUGGGAACUAGGUGUUGGCGACAUUCCACGUCGUCGGUGCCGCAGCUAACGCAUUAAG
rnacentral:rRNA from 2 species